UGGAGACCCACAGGGGCAGCUUCCACCUCUCCAGUUUCCAUGGCGAGUGAGGGGCACCGCAGAUUCAAAGCCAGGGCUGCCUGAGCCCACAGCCGCUUCUCCCUACCAGUGGGCUCUGUGCCCCACUCCUGCCAAACCCUCAGGGGUGCCUUGGGCUGGACUUGGGCAGGGACCUCUCGUCAGGGACCUCUCGUCAGCGGUGGCUGGGAGAUGCAAGGGAAAGCCUUCCAGCUCAGCUGGGUGUGGAGUCAACAGCGUGUCCAACACUGCAACAUCAGCCCUGUGCCUGUGGACUGCAGCCCAGAUGGCCUGGCUCUUUCUAUACAUUCUGUGUCUGCCUGAGAUAUGCGCUCUGCAAGGAAACAGAUUUGCUCAAGAAUGCUCAGGGCCCUGGAAUCCCCAGUGAGGAGAUGUUCUAAUGCAGCAGGAAGCGAGCAGGCUGGGCCGUGGCCGCACGCACCAUGAUGAAGAGGCCGGGACCCUGGCAGCUGGCUUUGUGGGAUAGACACUGGCUCGCAGAUGUGCGCUGGAGACAGCAGGGGCCUCGGUGUGGAAACAGUAGGAAAAGGCAACCGUGCUUCAACACUGCACUCAGCGCAGAUAUUGCUCACGGGAGGGCAGGUUACCGAUCCUGAAGCUGCCGUGCGUGUGUACAGGGAUGAAACGGCAGCUGGGCUCCUCGUUCUUGGCGAGGGAGGUUUUGAAUGAGCAAGGAUGCGAGGCUGGAAUCAACCACAGGCACUGGGGACGUCACUGUGAACACCCAUCAGCGUCCUGUAGCUAGAGGUGGGCGGGUAUGGAAAGAGAUCUAGCUCUGCAUGGAUACGUGGGCUGUACACAAACUUCCUAACCCCAUCUGCUGAGCGAGACUGAAGCAAGGGUGCCUCCGCGGCAAACACUCCAGAGCCCAGAUCUCGGGUUCUGACUCUAUCCUCCAAUCAAAGGGAACAGAGCUCCUUGGGGAGGGAGUAGACACACGAGAUGGGAGCACUGUGUAGUGCCAGAAAGUAAAGACGGGCUCAAGGCCGGGCAUGGUGGCUCAUGCCUGUAAUCCCAGCACUUUGGGAGGAGGAGGCGGGCAGAUCUCUUGAGGUCAGGAGUUCGAGACCAGCCUGGCCAACAUGGCAAAACCCCAUCUCUACUAAAAAUACAAAAAUUAGCCAGAUGUGGUGGCACGUGCCUGUAAUCCCAGCUACUCGGGAGACUGAGGCUUGAGAAUCACUUGAACCCAGGAAGUGGAGGUUGCAGUGAGCUGAGAUCGUGCCACUGCACUCCAGCUUGGAUGACAGAGUGAGAUUCUGUCAAAAAAACCCAAACUGCCCCCCACCAAAAAUAAGUAAAUAAAUAAACUCAAACAAACUCAAAGCAAAAGGAUGGGGCACGUCACAGGGCCAACCUGAAGGAGCUCCCAGUGGCCAAAGCUGGAACAAUUUGAGCAAGAUAUGGAUAAUGAGGUAUUGGGGUAGAACCCAAAUUAUUAUAAAAUAAACACCCGUGACUCCACAGUGACGUAAUAAAUUAUUCAGUCAGUCAGCGAAUGGGGAGGAGAGACAGGCCCCCCGCACAGAAGAGCUCUGCUUUACGUAGUUAAGCCUCCUGCCCCACCCAGCCUGGAGUGUGGGCUGCACUUCGUGACUCCUUUCUGGAGAGGACAGAAUGGAAAGGAAAAGGAAAGAACUCAGUGGUGGAGAAGCUGGCAUGUGCUGUCCCUGCCAGGUGAUCAAGGUCAACUCCGUGGUGAUAAGUGAUGUUGAGACGAUGGGACUGCAGUGGCGCUUCCGUUCCACGGUCUUGCUCCCCAACACCCGUAGCCCCGGUGUAAUCCAGAGAGAGACACCAGACACAUCUCAGCUAGGAGACACUCCACAACAGACUUGACUGAAACACCUUCAAACUGCCAAGUUCAUCAAAAAGAAGGAAAGUCUGAGACGCUGCUGCAGCUCAGAGGAAGCUAAGGAGACAUGGUGACCGAAGGUGACAUGGUGUCCUGGAGGCUCUCUGGGGACAGAAAAGGACAUUGCGGAAAACUGGCGAGCUCAGAAUAAAGCUUGAAGUGAAUAGCACCAAGGCCGGUUCAGUUAAUAACAUCCCAUUGUUGGUCUCUCAGCUGUAACAAACACACCAUCGGAAAGUAAGAUGUUAAAAAUGAGGAAAACAGCGCAGAGUCCACUGGCACUCUCCGUACUGUCUGCAAUUUUUCCGUAAAUUGAAGCCCAUUUUAAAUUUUUCAAUGCAUUUUUUUUAAGUAGUCAGGUGUAUUUGUGUGGCUUGAUUUCUGGGUUUCCUCCUGUUUCACUGAUCUGUGGGUAUCGUUUCGCCAUCAUGUGGUCUGUGGCUUUAUAGUGUCUUGCAAUUGGGCAGCAGGAGUCCUCCUGGGUCUGGGGAGGUUGGAGCUGUUUCUGGGUGCCCUGAGCACGUGGUGCAUGGAGAGGCACAGCACGGGACUUCUGUGUGCAGGCUCUGGGGCCAGAAUGCCCCAAACACACCUUCACAGAAUGCCCCAAACACACCACCUUCACAGAAUGCCCCAAACACAGCUUCACCUCC
rnacentral:lncRNA from 1 species